rnacentral:rRNA from 1 species
GAGUUUGAUUAUGGCUCAGGACGAACGCUGGCGGCGUGCUUAACACAUGCAAGUCGAACGGAAAGAGAUGAAAGAGCUUGCUCUUUUAUUAAUUUCAGUGGCAAACGGGUGAGUAACACGUAAACAACCUGCCUUAAGGAUGGGGAUAACAGACGGAAACGACUGCUAAUACCGAAUACGUUCUAAGCAUCGCAUGGUGCAUAGAAGAAAGGGUGGCCUCUACAAGAAAGCUAUCGCCUUAAGAGGGGUUUGCGACUGAUUAGGUAGUUGGUGAGGUAACGGCUCACCAAGCCGACGAUCAGUAGCCGGUCUGAGAGGAUGAACGGCCACACUGGAACUGAGACACGGUCCAGCCUCCUACGGGAGGCAGCAGUGGGGAAUCUUCCGCAAUGGACGAAAGUCUGACGGAGCAACGCCGCGUGAACGAAGAAGGUCUUCGGAUUGUAAAGUUCUGUGAUUCGGGACGAAAGGGUUUGUGGUGAAUAAUCAUAGACAUUGACG